GACGAACGCUGGCGGCGUGCCUAAUACAUGCAAGUAGGACGCAGUUGCGAACGUGUGAGUAACGCGUAGGUAACUGCCUAUUAGAGAGUGAUAACUAUUGGAAACGAUAGCUAAUACCGCAUACUAGUCGAUUUACCUGCGUUGUAUUAGCUAGUAGGGAGGGUAAUGGCCUACCUAGGCGACGAUACAUAGCCGACGCGGUGUGGGGGUGGGGCAAAAUGGGGAUGAGAACCGGCCCAGAACCCCACGGGAGGCAGCCGUAGGGAAAAUGAGGAAAGGGGGGGAAACCCGACCGAGCAAAGGCGGGUGAGUGAAGAAGGUUUUCGGAGGGUAAAGCGCUGUUGUUAAGGAAGCGGUACUUAACAAGAAAGGGACGGCUAACUACGUGCCAGCAGCCGCGGUAAUAC
rnacentral:rRNA from 1 species